rnacentral:rRNA from 1 species
GACGAACGCUGGCGGCGUGCCUAAUACAUGCAAGUUGAGCGCUGAAGGUUGGUACUUGUACCAACUGGAUGAGCAGCGCACGGGUGAGUAACGCGUGGGGAAUCUGCCUUUGAGCGGGGGACAACAUUUGGAAACGAAUGCUAAUACCGCAUAAAAACUUUAAACACAAGUUUUAAGUUUGAAAGAUGCAAUUGCAUCACUCAAAGAUGAUCCCGCGUUGUAUUAGCUAGUUGGUGAGGUAAAGGCUCACCAAGGCGAUGAUACAUAGCCGACCUGAGAGGGGGAUCGGCCACAGUGGGACUGAGACACGGCACAAACUCCUACGGGAGGCAGCAGGAGGGAAGCUUCGGCAAUGGACGAAAGUCUGACCGAGCAACGCCGCGUGAGUGAAGAAGGGUCUCGGAUCGUAAAACUCUGUUGGUAGAGAAGAACGUUGGUGAGAGUGGAAAGCUCAUCAAGUGACGGUAACUACACAGAAAGGGACGGCUAACUACGUG